GGGAGAGAAAGGGAGACGGCGAAGCGCGCACCACGACUCUGAUCGCGAGAAUCUUUCUUAGCUGUUGAGAGCGUCGCGUGCUUGAGAGGAAAAGAAAAAAAUAACACGGUGGGGAAAAUAAGAAAUGCUCCGCCACAUUAUCUUAUCUGCAUUAUCAUACACACUGCGAUAUGUUGGCCUCGCGAGAGAAACUUUGCCGAGAAAACCGACACUGGCGUUCAGUUCCGCGUUUGAUGUAACGAACGUUUCCAUGAUCCUGGGAAUCGAUUACUAUUAAUAGCAUUAUUGUUAGUAGUAUCGUUAUCGUUGGUGAGCAAUUCGCAGAUUUUUAUUUCGCUUUUUCUUUCGCGUAUAUAUAGAAAGUUUAAGAACUUGAAAAUACGUGGAAUACACGCAACAUGCAAAAAUGUAUAAAGAUACGCGAAGUACAGUGUUUGGUAUAAUAUUCGGUAGAUACAUAGCGUUCGGUAUGUGUUUAGUGUGCCACUAAAUAUGGUUUUGAGGAUCGAUUAUUAUCGGCGAGUGGACUACAGUUUUUCGAGGAUUUUGCGGCCAAUGUAAAAAUUCACAGAUGCGUAGAAUACGCGCAACGUGAAAAUAUACGAGCCGCUGCAUAUGCAAAAGCGGUGUAAGUCAAAGAGAAGUUGAUUACCGAGUAAUGAGAGAUAAAAUGAGAAUUUUGUAAAGCGUGCAGCGGACGAUUCUCAGCGAGAAACUAAUCGAGAUUUACCUACGCUUACUUUUACUUCUGCACGAAACAGGACGAAGGUCGCGUUCUCGUGAUGUGGUGUUAAAUCAAACGCGCGAAAAAUUGAUUUACACCGCGUUUACGUUACGCGGCUCGUAUCGUAAGAUGUUUAAAGUACGGUGCUGUAUUAUUUAUGGACGUACGAAGUUUUCGGCGAUCUCGAUGAUGCAUGAUUAGCGGGCAGCAGCAAAAUUACAAAUUUACUAUAACCAUGCGGAUAUUUCGAGCCAGCUGUAAAUGCAAGCAGACAGGCUGCUUCGUUUGUGAUGGCGAAACGAAAGGAGACAGAAAGAGAGGAAAGAUAUAAUAUACGACAGAAUUAUGGAGGUCAGAUUGAAGAAAGAAAAACGAGGGUCAGUGAGGACUUCUGAGAAUUCUUCAUCUUCUCCUCAUGAAAUCGUUUUUUCGAUAAAUCCAAAGAAUGUGCUCUGGCACGGUUCUCCAAUUUUGAUAUCCCCAUCUUCUUUCAACGACCAAGAAGACUCGUAAAUAGUAUUAAAAAUGGCUUUAUCGCUAAACUGCGGAUUUUCACGUACGUGUACUACGUAUUUAUAGGAAAUUUGAAGGUGUAACGUUCCACGAAAUGCACACGCGAUAUCCAAUAAAGUACAGUGCUUUCUACACUGCUCGGUGAACCGCAACGAGGCACAAAGACAGUUCGAUUGUCUGAGAGUUUUUACUCGCAUCGAGGGAGUUGCAAAACUCGUGGAACGCGGCUGAAUGAGCCCACGCGCAUUCCCUGACUGUCGUACGCGGUCCAAGAUAUUGACAUUGGCCCUUUUCCACCAGAUCUGAUCGUUUUAUUAUGCAGCCAGCGGAACUCGGUUUCGAGGAUUGGCACAGUUUCAAGUGCACCAAGCUACUCAGACGUUUCACGACCCAGUGCUAGCCUCCGUCGGUUUAUACACGUCCUAAAACAUUUAUAUCACGGUCGAUAUUUCACGGUAAAUUGGAAGAAACGAUCUCGAAUAACGUUACAUCCAAGCAGACGAAAAAUCGAGCGGCCAUUCGUUUCGGAAAACUGUUGAUAUUAGAUCGUCGAGAUUAUGCGAGUAUUCGAUAAAAAUAACGAAAUUAUCUUUGCUUUGGGUCGUAUUUGAAUAAUUCGAGAGUCCGAUAAAAAUAAUGGAGAAAUUUUUCACGCACGCCUGCGACGAGAAACGUCGCUUUACGAUGUGUUUCUAAGAAGAAAAUAUUUCUGUCGGACAUUUGCCGCUAUACAUCGAUACACCUUCGGGUUUCUCGUCAAAAAAUCGAACUUCAGAAAAGAUUCUUUCCGACGUUACACGUGACUCUUAAAACAAUAGAACUGUGUACCGGGAACAUUUUCAUCGGACAAUGAACGAGGCAGCAUACUCGACUAAUUCCAUUUAGCCGAAGCAUCCUGUACAUUCUACAGAAAUUUGCAUACACGCGACCUAUAAUCUAUAAUCCAUAAGCUAACGUGAAUUAAAUUACCUACAUACAGGGUGUUCGCGUUCAGAAGCGAAGAGAAACGUAACGCGAUACUCUCGUAUUUGCGUCUCGCUUGUCUUAAACCUAAGAAAUUCUACGAGAUUAAAGUUACGAUAUCUUCGAGUCUUUCACGCUCCGCUGCCUUCGUUCAGGCGGACACAAAGAGAUUGCCGUAUGGCGAUCGUAUGGCAGAAAAUUACAAGCUGCAAAUUUUUCGAAAAUAUGUGUCUCCUUGCAGCUUCGCCCUCGAAAUGUAAAUCGAAAAAGUAAAUAAAAAAGAAAAAUACGCAGAAGAUCGAACUGCUCGGUUUUCGAGCCCAAGCGUCGCCCUAAUGCGGCAACUAAGUGAUUGCGGAUUUUGUCAUUAGGUGGUAAUGACAAAAUCCGCAAUCACUUAGUUGCCAACCCAAUAUGAAAAGGAUGCGAAACAAAGCAGUCAGAUGCUAAUUUGUAGCAGAGGUGUACUCGAGAUGGAAAAAGGAUAGAACGAUAGAAUGGUUGAGGAAAUUAGAAAGAAACGAGUGUAUAUAAGGAAGGAUAGGGGAAAAGAGAGAAUAUGCGACAAACAUGUGAGAUUAAAUUUAAAUAAUUAACUGAGAGUAAAUAGAAUGUAACUAAGAGUAAGUUUAAGUAUUAGAUUGUCCCAGUAGAACAAAACGGAUCACAAGUAAUUCGAUAAAAAAAUAUACAAGAAAAAAUGUUGUUCCUUAUAAAACGAAGGAAAUUUUUGGGACAACCUAAUAUUAUAUUAACAAUAAUCUAGUGUGUACUGAGGUUGAAAGAGCGUGCGAAUAAGAAAUCCACGUGAAUCUCAUUUUGUAGCCAGAAGGCAAAAAUAAAUAAAUAAAUAUAUAUAUUUGUAUAAUAAUAAUUAUUACGUAUAUACAUGUAGGUAAUUAUUAUUAUAUUAU